rnacentral:rRNA from 1 species
GCAGCAGCCACGGUAAUACGAAGGGUGCAAGCGUUACUCGGAAUUACUGGGCGUAAAGCGUGCGUAGGUGGUGGUUUAAGUCCGUUGUGAAAGCCCUGGGCUCAACCUGGGAAUUGCAGUGGAUACUGGGUCACUAGAGUGUGGUAGAGGAUAGUGGAAUUUCCGGUGUAGCAGUGAAAUGCGUAGAGAUCGGAAGGAACAUCUGUGGCGAAGGCGACUAUCUGGGCCAACACUGACACUGAGGCACGAAAGCGUGGGGAGCAAACAGGAUUAGAUACCCGUGUAGUCCCUGUCUCUUAUAC